rnacentral:rRNA from 1 species
CAGCAGCCGCGGGAAUACGUAGGCGGCAAGCGUUGUCCGGAAUUAUUGGGCGUAAAGGGCUCGCAGGCGGUUUCUUAAGUCUGAUGUGAAAGCCCCCGGCUCAACCGGGGAGGGUCAUUGGAAACUGGGAAACUUGAGUGCAGAAGAGGAGAGUGGAAUUCCACGUGUAGCGGUGAAAUGCAUAGAGAUGUGGAGGAACACCAGUGGCGAAGGCGACUCUCUGGUCUGUAACUGACGCUGAGGAGCGAAAGCGUGGGGAGCGAACAGGAUUAGAUACCCCAGUAGUCCCUGUCUCUUAUAC